UACGUAGGGUGCAGGCGUUAAUCGGAAUUACUGGGCGUAAAGCGUGCGCAGGCGGUCUUUUAAGUCAGAUGUGAAAUCCCCCGGGCUUAACCUGGGAACUGCGUUUGAAACUGGAAGGCUUGAGUGUGGGCAGAGGGGGGUGGAAUUCCACGUGUAGCAGUGAAAUGCGUAGAGAUGAUGGAGGAACACCGAUGGCGGAAGGCAGCCCCCUGGGCUAACACUGACGCUCGAUGCACGAAAGCGUGGGGAGCAAACAGG
rnacentral:rRNA from 1 species